rnacentral:rRNA from 1 species
AAGAUUAAAACUCAAAUGAAUUGACGGGGGCCCGCACAAGCGGUGGAGCAUGUGGUUUAAUUNGACGCAACGCGAAGAACCUUACCUACUCUUGACAUAUACAGAAGACUNCAGAGAUNCGGUUGUGCCUUCGGGAACUGUAAGACAGGUGCUGCAUGGCUGUCGUCAGCUCGUGUUGUGAAAUGUUGGNUUAAGUCCCGCAACGAGCGCAACCCCUAUCCUUAGUUNCCAGCGAUUCGGUCGGGNACUCUAGGGAGACUGCCGGUGAUAAACCGGAGGAAGGUGGGGACGACGUCAAGUCAUCAUGGCCCUUACGAGUAGGGCUACACACGUGCUACAAUGGUACGUACAGAGGGAGGCAANCUGGCGACAGUGAGCGGAUCUCUUAAAGCGUAUCGUAGUCCGGAUNGCAGUCUGCAACUCGACUGCGUGAAGUCGNANUCGNUAUAAUCGCAAAUCAGAAUNUGCGNCNG